CAGCUGCGGAAAUUUGGCGCGUAUGUCGAAUCGGCUUUACAAAUUCUAAGCUUGGUAAUCCUCAUUUUUCAUAUAAAAUUGCUUAUAUUUAUAUACAUCAAUGCAAAUCAAGCUUUUUAAAUAAGUAUUGAAAAGUGAAAAAUUGUAUAUUGUAAAGGAACGAAAUAUGCGUUCCGAGCAAAAACAAAAUAACGCGGCCAAUGUAGAAACACGUAGCAGUUCGGCAAUAGAAGUUGAUACUUCUUUUGGAUAUCCCGUAGAAAGUAUUAAAGGUGUUAAUAGCAAUAAAAACACUUUCGAUAAAAAGCUCAAAAGAAUGAAAAGUGAAAAGUGUAAUUUUAUUAAUAAACGAGAAAACUAUGAGCCUCGAUUGUCGACACCAACAACAACCAGAUUCUCGGACAAUGAGGGAAAAAGAAAAGAUACAUCAACGUCUAUUGGUUCAGGCAAUAGAUUGUCUUCGUCUACGCCACGCAGAAAACGUAACAUGUUAGCCAAUUUAUAUUCGGACUUAAGCCCGAAAUAUAUUGGAUUUACAACACCUCCAUCGUCGUCAACAGUUGUCAUAGCCGGCAGCGAAAGUGAUGGUGGUCUUCAGACUAGAAGUUCUCGGCAUCGUAAAUUACUUGUAUAUGUUGCCAGUCCCGAGGUAGGAGGAGGUAGCGAUAGUGAAAUCUUGUCUGAUUCGUCCAAAGCACUGUUAGGGUGCGUCAGACGAGCGGGAAAUCAAUCCGUAACGCCGUCCCCGAACAGAUUGUCAGCGCGCAAAAAAUUUGAGAGUCCCAUUGAUAAAUUAUUAGCACGGAAUGGCUCAGUUGUGUUAAAUGAUAUUAGCAAAGAAAAAAUAGUGAAAAACUUAGCUGUAAGUCCAAACACUAAAUUAAAUAACGAUAUAAAUGAAAGUAAACCUACACUUUCAAGAAAUAAUGAGACAUUUAUUGGUGUUCAUUGCGAAAAUAAUAAUAAUAAUUCGCCUGAUUUGGUAAAUCUGCCCCAAAAGCAAAUAAACAAUUUCGUUAAUUGCUUAAUAACUGAAAGCAAUGAAGAGUAUAAUGAACAAGAAACAACACAUAUCGCUGAUUUAAUAAAAAGGGAAUCCGCAAGUGCUGUAAAUAAUGCAGAAUCAGAUAUUGCUAACUCGUCCAAAUGUGGAAGUUGUGAGGUUGGCGAAGAUAAUUUUGAAACCUCUACAACAGAUCUUCAUUCUCUGCACAAUUUCAUUACUCCAACAGCAGAAGUAAAAAUCGAAAAUAAUAGUUUUGAUAAAACCACGGAGUGCAAACUGGAGAUCGUUGAAAGUCCCAUUGACGAUGCAGAGGCAGAGUUACGGUACGAUUUAGAGGGAGGAGAGAGUGGCGAAUCCAUGAUAUUAAGCAACGUUGUUGGUUUAAGUGCAAAAUCACCUUCAGCAACCAGUUUAGAUAGCGCUAAAGGUUCUUCUGUGGUAACGGGAAUGGAUUGGAUGACAUUUUCAACAGGAGAUAUCUUUUGGGGACAAAUAUAUUCUUACUGCUAUUGGCCUUGCAUUGUAUGUCCGGAUCCCGAUGGUAGGACGUUAUCAUCUGAACGCAAUGUGCGUAAUGGCGAAGAAUAUGUAUUAGUUCAUGUACGCUUCUUUGCUGAUAGCGGUCGGAGGAAUUGGGUAAAACGUGAAAACCUCAUCCCAUAUACCGAUCUAGAAAAUUACAAGCAACAUAUGCGUGAAAUACGAAAAAAAUAUGGCAAGAAGAGUCUAAAAUAUAAGGUACUUUUACCAAAGCCAAGUAAAGUAAUGAUCUGGCGUGAAGCAAUAAAAGAAGCAAAUAAAGUCUCUGAAAUCGUAUACGAGGACAGGUUAACGAAGUUUUUUGAAAUUUACGAGCAUAAAAAAGUCUUGCAAAAAAUACAAAGAAAACAACGAAAAUUGAGCACGGACAACAAUAGUAGAACUGAAAGUUUAAGUCACGAUCCUAUGGAAAGUUUGAUAGUAAAAAAUCCUUUGGCUUCGGGAAAACGCGAUCGUUCAGUUUCGCCUUACAGUCCCGCCUAUUCACCGCUAAAACCAGUAUCGAAAACAAAGCGACGAAAAUUAAGUGAUGCUUCUACACAUCCGCAGCAAAAAAAAGAGAACUCAGAUGGAGAUAAUAACGAGACUAAUGAAAGCUCUAAUAAUAAUGCCGGUACUGUUGAAGAAAACGAAACUACCACUUUGGCUUCGUUUGCUGCGUUGCAUGAAAUGGAAAUGGGUAACAGCGAAUAUAGGAAUUUUUACAACGCUAUGAGAGAAUUCGUAUUGGAAGAUAAUAUAGACGAAUCUUUGGAAAGAAGCUUAAUGGUUGCAUCACGGAACAUUUGGGCUUUAAAGCAGAUUAAUAUACAUCAAAUAAAACGGCGAUUGCUGGCAGGAAGUAAUGAGCAUGAGCUUGGCUCUAGUCUUGUUGAAAAUAGUAGUAGAGAAGGUGCUGUCAAGCGGCUAUCGAACAGAUUAAAAACUUUGAAACAUCGUCAUAGUUUACCUACCAAAAUCAAUAAUGUAUUCGAAUUGGAACCGCAAGAGAAACAACAAGAAGAGGAAGGGGAAGUUCAAGCAGUUGAUAACAAACCCAAACGUCAAUUGAACCGACCUAUUGAAGAAGUUAUCGAUGAUAUUUUCAACUUAGAUAACAAGUAUUUAUUUCGAGGAUUAGCGCGUGAUCCUGUUUGUAAGUACUGUCUUCAUCCCGGUGGUCCAUUGGUCAGAUGUGCCAAAGGUUGCCAGACUUGGUUGCAUGCUAAUUGUAUUGGAAAAGAUCCAACAGAUUUAAAAAAAUCGCGUGGUCGUCGAAAAUCAAAUAUUAUAAAUGUAAGGCGGAGUUCUUCUAAAUUAUCCGUUGAUAUGAAAGCGUCAUUUGAAAAUCCAAUAGCUCAAUUAAAUAAUGACCAGGAAAUUGCUGGCACCUCGUCAUCAUUAAACAAUUACCAUGUUACUGCUGACGGAGAUGUUGAUGAUCUCAUCAUUAAAGUAAAUCUGGAAGUAAUUUGCGAUUCCUGUGCGAUAGGAAAGCCUCCUGUUUGUGCUGUAUGCAAGGAAGACAAUUCAUCAGAUUCAAACAAGGAAGAAUUAAUUUUAUGUAACAUGCCUCAUUGUUCGAAAGCUUUCCAUCCUGCUUGUUGUAGAUAUUGGCCACAAGCAAAGUUUACCAAAUCGAAAAAUAAGAUUGAAUCUUUUCGCUGCCCAUCACAUGUUUGUCAUACUUGUGUUUCAGACGAUCCCAAAGGAAAAUUUCAACAUUUAAGUAACUCGAAACUUAUAAAAUGUGUGAAAUGUCCUGCUAGUUAUCAUAUGGAUUCGACUUGCAUACCUGCCGGUUCUCAAAUACUGACAGCGGCGCAUAUAAUAUGCCCUCGCCAUAGUAUAUCAAGUAAAUCAGAUGGGCACGUGAACGUCAGUUGGUGUUUCAUUUGCGUAGGAGGCGGUCAGGUAAUCUGUUGUGAAACUUGUCCAACCGCUGUACACGCCAAAUGUUUAAAUAUCCCCCUUGAUCCAAGUGAAGGUUACAUAUGUGAGGAGUGUGAGUCUGGUCGUCUGCCAUUGUAUGGGGAAAUGGUAUGGGCUAAAUUCAAUUCGUUCCGAUGGUGGCCGGCUAUAAUACUGCCACCAACCGAAAUACCACAAAAUAUCAGACGAAAGGCACAUAACCCAAAUGAUUUUGUAGUUCGUUUCUUUGGAACACAUGACCAUGGUUGGAUCUCUAGGCGUCGCGUUUAUCUUUAUUUGGAGGGUGACAGUUCGGAACCGCCGAAAACAAAAUCAAGUUUGGAUCAGAGUUAUAAUCGCGGCGUUGAGGAAGCAAAACGUAUAUAUGAAAUUAUAAAAUCGAAGAAGAUGGCACAACGCCUUUCCAAUGAAAAUAAAGAGAAGUUACAUCCACAACCAUAUGUGCGGAUUAAAGCUAAUCGGGCCGUUCAUCCGGUAAAACUGCACAUAGAUUUGGAAAAGGUCAAUAAAUGUGAAUGCAGAAGUUACGAUGAGAAUCCAUGUGGGCCGAAUUCAAAUUGUUUGAAUCGUGUUCUAUAUCAUGAGUGCAAUCCAAAGCUGUGUCCAGCGGGCGAACGUUGUCAAAACCAAAUGUUCGAAUCAAGACUAUCACCACGGCUAGAUGUUGUCUAUCUAAAGGAGCGUGGUUUCGGACUGGUGUGUAGAGAACCCAUAAAUGCGGGAGAUUUUAUUAUUGAGUACGUUGGUGAAAUCAUUGAUGAUAAUGAGUUUAAACAACGGAUAUCUCAAAAGUCUUUGGAUCGUGAUGAAAAUUUCUAUUUUCUGUCAGUGGAGAAGGACUACAUUAUUGAUGCGGGUCCGAAGGGGAAUUUGGCACGCUUCAUGAAUCAUUCCUGUGACCCGAAUUGUGAGACACAAAAAUGGUCAGUAAAUGGUCUGAAUCGAAUAGGACUUUUUGCUAUUAAAGACAUACCAGCGGACACGGAACUAACAUUUAAUUAUCAUUGGGAUGAUUUGUUAGGAAAUCAGAAAAAGUUAUGCUUAUGUGGAGCAGUUAAAUGUGUUGGUGAAAUAGGUGGCAAAAACAGAGAAGAAAAGGUUUCUAAAGAGAACACCGCAGUCGAAACAAACAAAGUUAAGGCCGGUUCCACACGGAAGAGAAAACCUUUAAAAAGGCUUCAAAACCGUUCCAGGGAAGCAAAUGGGAAAAAAUCAAGCAAAAAGCGUGCUAAUACAACAGUGAAGACUCCAGUAAGGAUUGAGGAACCAGCAGAUGACCAUAAUAAUGAGAACACAUAACACCAGAACAGUGAUAACUCCAUUAAUAUUGCUGCCAAAAUUAAUGAGGACGACAAUACAACAAAUAUAUUUUGAUAUUAAUUUUAUAUCCCUUCGCAAAUCGUUUCAUGCAUGUAUAGAGAUAAUUUAACAAAAUUCUGUUUAUAACUUCGAAAAUUUAUUUGCAGAUCCAAAUAACAACAUAAACUUAAAAAAUUCCUCCAGUACGCAACUUUCAGUAGAAGACACUAUUUAAUAUAAUUACAUAAGUCGUUGUUUUUAUGCACUCAUGUGGUGUUAGAAGUAAUAAAAAUAAAUAAAUGUAAUUGAAAUGCGCACA
rnacentral:misc_RNA from 1 species